rnacentral:rRNA from 3 species
GCUAAUCCUGGUCGGACAUCAGGAGGUUAGUGCAAUGGCAUAAGCCAGCUUGACUGCGAGCGUGACGGCGCGAGCAGGUGCGAAAGCAGGUCAUAGUGAUCCGGUGGUUCUGAAUGGAAGGGCCAUCGCUCAACGGAUAAAAGGUACUCCGGGGAUAACAGGCUGAUACCGCCCAAGAGUUCAUAUCGACGGCGGUGUUUGGCACCUCGAUGUCGGCUCAUCACAUCCUGGGGCUGAAGUAGGUCCCAAGGGUAUGGCUGUUCGCCAUUUAAAGUGGUACGCGAGCUGGGUUUAGAACGUCGUGAGACAGUUCGGUCCCUAUCUGCCGUGGGCGCUGGAGAACUGAGGGGGGCUGCUCCUAGUACGAGAGGACCGGAGUGGACGCAUCACUGGUGUUCGGGUUGUCAUGCCAAUGGCACUGCCCGGUAGCUAAAUGCGGAAGAGAUAAGUGCUGAAAGCAUCUAAGCACGAAACUUGCCCCGAGAUGAGUUCUCCCUGAGACUUAAAGUCUCCUGAAGGAACGUUGAAGACGACGACGUUGAUAGGCCGGGUGUGUAAGCGCAGCGAUGCGUUGAGCUAACCGGUACUAAUGAACCGUGAGGCUUAACCUUACAACGCCGAAG